AGCAGUAGCCGCGGGAACACCGAGGGUGCAAGCGUUAAUCGGAAUUACUGGGCGUAAAGCGCGCGUAGGUGGUUUGUUAAGUUGGAUGUGAAAUCCCCGGGCUCAACCUGGGAACUGCAUCCAAAACUGGCAAGCUAGAGUAUGGUAGAGGGUGGUGGAAUUUCCUGUGUAGCGGUGAAAUGCGUAGAUAUAGGAAGGAACACCAGUGGCGAAGGCGACCACCUGGACUGAUACUGACACUGAGGUGCGAAAGCGUGGGGAGCAAACAGGAUUAGAUACCCCCGUAGUCCCUGUCUCUUAUAA
rnacentral:rRNA from 1 species